rnacentral:lncRNA from 1 species
CAUGGCAUUGUAGCACGAUGGUGAAAGGACCCCAACCAAAUUCAAAGCCCAUAUUCAGCACUCGACAAAAGAAAACAGUUAUUUGAUAAUGAAGCAAGUCAUAUUGCUUAGAAGAACUAGGUGAAUUCCUUCCAUCAAACAGAGACUUGAUUAUACAAUCAAAAAAUUGUUCAGUCUACUGUACCAAACAAAUAAUCAGCGGAGAAAUGCAUCAAAGAUUAGGGGAAGUAUACCAUAACCCUAGUAAAGAGAUGUCACCUCAGCUUGAUCAAACAUUCAUACCUCUUAAAUAGUUUGGCAAGGGCAAGAAUGCUUGCAUUUAUUAUCCCACAUGAUAUUUGCCUUUUUUCUUGCCUAUGUUGGAAUUUUGCCCCAAUAGACAUACAGUCAUCUGCUUCUGGGGUGCCAACUUGUCCUUCACAUAUUACUGCGCCACAGUAAUCAAAUCAGAUGGUCAGAAAUGUUUACAUCUAAAGCCUGGUGCAAUCGAUCGAGAGAUAAAUUUACUUCUUCAUUUUGGAAAAUUGUAGGGAUGGGAUUUUUUUUUUUUUUUUGGGUGAUUGAUUUAUACCUGCACGUUCAUUUUUCUUAGACUGGAUGUAUCAAAAAUUGAUGCACUCAAAUAAUUAUUGCCAAUUUCGAAAGAGAUUUUGUCGGGGAUAAUGAUGUAAUUUAUGAUUUCACAGGAAUAGAUGAUAAUUUAUUUUGGAAAAAGUCAUUUGUACACCAUGGUGUACAAUCCCCUCACAUAUUGACG